AGAGUUUGAUCCUGGCUCAGGACGAACGCUGGCGGCGUGCCUAAUACAUGCAAGUCGAGCGAGCUUGCCUAGAUGAUUUUAGUGCUUGCACUAAAUGAAACUAGAUACAAGCGAGCGGCGGACGGGUGAGUAACACGUGGGUAACCUGCCCAAGAGACUGGGAUAACACCUGGAAACAGAUGCUAAUACCGGAUAACAACACUAGACGCAUGUCUAGAGUUUGAAAGAUGGUUCUGCUAUCACUCUUGGAUGGACCUGCGGUGCAUUAGCUAGUUGGUAAGGUAACGGCUUACCAAGGCAAUGAUGCAUAGCCGAGUUGAGAGACUGAUCGGCCACAUUGGGACUGAGACACGGCCCAAACUCCUACGGGAGGCAGCAGUAGGGAAUCUUCCACAAUGGACGAAAGUCUGAUGGAGCAACGCCGCGUGAGUGAAGAAGGGUUUCGGCUCGUAAAGCUCUGUUGGUAGUGAAGAAAGAUAGAGGUAGUAACUGGCCUUUAUUUGACGGUAAUUACUUAGAAAGUCACGGCUAACUACGUGCCAGCAGCCGCGGUAAUACGUAGGUGGCAAGCGUUGUCCGGAUUUAUUGGGCGUAAAGCGAGUGCAGGCGGUUCAAUAAGUCUGAUGUGAAAGCCCUCGGCUUAACCGAAGAAGUGCAUCGGAAACCGGGCGACUUGAGUGCAGAAGAGGACAGUGGAACUCCAUGUGUAGCGGUGGAAUGCGUAGAUAUAUGGAAGAACACCAGUGGCGAAGGCGGCUGUCUGGUCUGCAACUGACGCUGAGGCUCGAAAGCAUGGGUAGCGAACAGGAUUAGAUACCCUGGUAGUCCAUGCCGUAAACGAUGA
rnacentral:rRNA from 1 species